rnacentral:rRNA from 1 species
AGUAAUACCGUAUACGCCCUUCGGGGGAAAGAUUUAUCGCAGAAGGAUUAGCCCGCGUUGGAUUAGGUAGUUGGUGGGGUAAUGGCCUACCAAGCCUACGAUCCAUAGCUGGUUUGAGAGGAUGAUCAGCCACACUGGGACUGAGACACGGCCCAGACUCCUACGGGAGGCAGCAGUGGGGAAUCUUAGACAAUGGGCGCAAGCCUGAUCUAGCCAUGCCGCGUGAGUGAUGAAGGCCUUAGGGUCGUAAAGCUCUUUCGCUGGGGAAGAUAAUGACUGUACCCAGUAAAGAAACCCCGGCUAACUCCGUGCCAGCAGCCGCGGUAAUACGGAGGGGGUUAGCGUUGUUCGGAAUUACUGGGCGUAAAGCGCGCGUAGGCGGAUUGGAAAGUUGGGGGUGAAAUCCCGGGGCUCAACCUCGGAACUGCCUUCAAAACUCCCAGUCUUGAGUUCGAGAGAGGUGAGUGGAACUCCGAGUGUAGAGGUGAAAUUCGUAGAUAUUCGGAAGAACACCAGUGGCGAAGGCGGCUCACUGGCUCGAUACUGACGCUGAGGUGCGAAAGUGUGGGGAGCAAACAGGAUUAGAUACCCUGGUAGUCCACACCGUAAACGAUGAAUGCCAGACGUCAGCAAGCAUGCUUGUUGGUGUCACACCUAACGGAUUAAGCAUUCCGCCUGGGGAGUACGGUCGCAAGAUUAAAACUCAGAGGAAUUGA